rnacentral:rRNA from 1 species
CCUACGGGUGGCAGCAGUAGGGAAUAUUGCUCAAUGGGGGAAACCCUGAAGCAGCAACGCCGCGUGGAGGAUGAAGGAUUUCGGAUUGUAAACCCCUUUUGUUAGAGAAGAAAAUGACGGUAUCUAACGAAUAAGCACCGGCUAACUACGUGCCAGCAGCCGCGGUAAUACGGAGGGGGCAAGCGUUACGCGGAAUCACUGGGCGUAAAGAGCGCGUAGGCGGGAGAGCAAGUCAGAUGUGAAAGCCUUGGGCUUAACCAUAGGACUGCAUUGGAAACUGUUCUUCUGGAGUAUGGGAGAGGUAGGUGGAAUUCUUGGUGUAGCGGUGAAAUGCGUAGAGAUCACGAGGAAUACUCAUUGCGAAGGCGGCCUGCUGGAACAUAACUGACGUUGAUGCGCGAAAGCGUGGGGAGCAAACAGGAUUAGAUACCCUUGUAGUC